GAGUUUUGUCCUCCAGACCCCAGCUAGUAAACAAGAGGGCAAUGAAAAAUUGUUAUAAAAUCACUACAUUUAUAAAAUCCAAGGGUAAAACCAGGAGUUCACCAAAUGAAGAACCACCCAGAAAGGUCAUCAGAACCGACAAUCUGAGAACCCCACCCAGAAAUGCUGUGAUCAUGUGCUUUCUGUGUAUUUGGAUUUGUGACAUUUCACCUUUCCACUCUAGUGUGUACACGGUUAUACAAAGCCAGAGUCUAUCUGGGCAGCAUUGCUGCAUGUCAGGAACCGACAGUGGAUUUGAGGUCAAUCCAUCCCGAAGGAGCCCAACUCUGCCCUACGUUGUAUAACUAGCACUUAGAAGUAACAUUUUUAUUUAUAAUAGAAUGCGGCCCUUACAAAAGGGCUUUGUUAAUGCAAGUCUCGUUCAAGGCGGCUGAAUGCUUUGUUUUUACCAUGAAUUAU